UGCAGUCGAACGGCAGCGCGAGAGAGCUUGCUCUCUUGGCGGCGAGUGGCGGACGGGUGAGUAAUAUAUCGGAACGUGCCCAGUAGCGGGGGAUAACUACUCGAAAGAGUGGCUAAUACCGCAUACGCCCUACGGGGGAAAGGGGGGGAUCGCAAGACCUCUCACUAUUGGAGCGGCCGAUAUCGGAUUAGCUAGUUGGUGGGGUAAAGGCUCACCAAGGCAACGAUCCGUAGCUGGUUUGAGAGGACGACCAGCCACACUGGGACUGAGACACGGCCCAGACUCCUACGGGAGGCAGCAGAGGGGAAUUUUGGACAAUGGGGGAAACCCUGAUCCAGCCAUCCCGCGUGUAUGAUGAAGGCCUUCGGGUUGUAAAGUACUUUUGGCAGAGAAGAAAAGGUAUCCCCUAAUACGGGAUACUGCUGACGGUAUCUGCAGAAUAAGCACCGGCUAACUACGUGCCAGCAGCCGCGGUAAUACGUAGGGUGCAAGCGUUAAUCGGAAUUACUGGGCGUAAAGCGUGUGUAGGCGGUUCGGAAAGAAAGAUGUGAAAUCCCAGGGCUCAACCUUGGAACUGCAUUUUUUAACUGCCGAGCUAGAGUAUGUCAGAGGGGGGGUAUAAUUCCACGUGUAGCAGUGAAAUGCGUAGAUAUGUGGAG
rnacentral:rRNA from 1 species